UCGGCCUACGGGGGGCAGCAGUGAGGAAUAUUGGUCAAUGGGCGAGAGCCUGAACCAGCCAAGUAGCGUGAAGGAUGACUGCCCUAUGGGUUGUAAACUUCUUUUAUAUGGGAAUAAAAUGUUCCACGUGUGGGAUUUUGUAUGUACCAUAUGAAUAAGGAUCGGCUAACUCCGUGCCAGCAGCCGCGGUAAUACGGAGGAUCCGAGCGUUAUCCGGAUUUAUUGGGUUUAAAGGGAGCGUAGGCCGGUCUUUAAGCGUGCCGUGAAAUUUUGUGGCUCAACCAUGAGAGUGCGGCGCGAACGGG
rnacentral:rRNA from 1 species